GCCACCAGGGGACACAACAAUUAUUCCAUUAAACUGGAAGUUAAAACUGCCACCUGGACACUUUGCGCUCCACCUACCUUUAAGUCAACAAGCUAAGAAGGCAGUUACGGUGUUAGCUGGGGUGAGUGACUCGGACUAUCAAGAUGAAAUCAGUCUACCACUCCACAACAGAGGUAAGAAAGAGUAUGCAUGGAAUACAGGAAAUCCAUCAGGGCGUCUCUUAGUAUUACCAUACUCUGUGAUUGAGAUCAAUGGGAAACUAUAACAGCCCAAUCCAGGCAGAAAAAUGUAAAAAGAGAGACUGGCCUUGCCUCCCAGCUUACAUCUUUCUCCCAUGCUUCUUGCCCUAGAACAUCCGACUCCAAGUUCUACAGUUUUGGAACUCAGAGUGUCUCUCCUUGCUCCUCAGCCUGCAGAUGGCCUAUUGACGGACCUUGUGAUUGUGAACACCUGUGGCCAGUCAUGGACCAAUCAGCAUGCACUUUCUCCAUUCUGAGGACAUAAAAACUGCAGACUCGGCCAGAUUUACACACUUGCUGGGAAGACCUGCCUAUAAAAGGAAGUACCCACUAUGGGUCUCCUCUCCACUGAGAGCUGGACACUCAUCGAGAUGACCUGCAUGCAGAAAGGAGCUACCGGCUAUGGGUUUCCUAUCUGCUGAGAGCUGGACACUCAUUGAGAUGACUUUCCUGUGGGAAGGAGCUACCCACUACGGGUCUCCUGAGAGCUUUUCUGUCACUCAGUGAAGCUCCUCUCUGCCUUGCUCACCCUCCAGUUGUCUGCACACUUCAUUCUUUCCGAAUGUAGGACAAGAAGUCAGGACCCACCAAAUGCAGGACUGAAAAAGCUGUAACACAAACAGGGCCACAAUAUACCCCCCAUUCACCACGUUGCAGGCAACAAGAAGGAGAGAAGAGCUGUGGCCCUUUGGGGAGCCCAGACCUAGGGGCUCCCCAAGCCAGGACUGUGACACCCUCUUUGGGGCUCUCUGAGGGUUCCUGGCAUCUCCAAUCAUCCGGCUGCCACCACGUUCCCCUUGUCCAGAUGUGGGUGCCCCUAGCAGAAUCCAUUUGUGGUACAUCUGAUCCAGCCACAGCCUUUCACGGAGCCAGCACCUGAGCCAGUGCCUGGAGCUGCCCGCUCUGCUGCAGCAGCCAGUGUGCCUGGCUGUGUGCAGUGGAAAAACGCCAUGCUCGCUAGCCCACACGCCCCUUGCUGCUGCCCACCUGGCUCACCGUUGGCAGGUGUGGGAUCCAGGCUGGUAGCAUGAGUCGAGUGCAGUCUGCCAAGCCAAGUGGGCAGAAUGAGCCCAGCGGGCCUAAGCAAAACUAGGGCAAAGAUGCCACCAGCCACAGAGGUUUCCGAAUGGAAAUGUGACACCCUAAGGAUCCUGUGACUACAAGUAGGUUAAAAGGCUGGAACAGUCUGUGGAAAGUAACUAGUAACAGGCUGGGCACAGUGGCUCACGCCUGUAAUCCCAGCACUUUGGGAGGCCGAGGCAGGCAGAUCACUAGGUUAGGAGUUUGAGACCAGCCUGGCCAACAUGGUGAAAUCCUGUAUCUACUAAAAAUACAAAAAUUAGACGGGUGUGGUGGUGCGUGCAUGUAGUCUCAGCUACUCAGGAGGCUGAGGCAGGAGAAUUGCUUGAACCUGGGAGGUGGAGGUUGAAGUGAGCUGAGAUCCUGCCACUGCACUCCAGCCUGGGUGACAGAGACUUUGUCUCAAAAAAAAAAAAAAAGAAAGAAAGAAAGUAACUAGUUACAGAAGAAGAGACAUGAUAGAUAUGCAAAAAAAAAAAAAAAAAAAAAAGAUAAUGCACCACUAUGUGCUGAUAAAUAAAAGAUUAAAAGGAACAAGUAUGUAAUUUUCCCAAUAGAAAAUAAUUACCAUAUGAUAAAUAGAAUAUUGCUUAAGUAUUUUUUCUACAGAAGUACGCUUAAUAAUGUCCUUCCUUCUAGCCUGUCAGUAAACUAACUUAUUCUAGAGGAAUAUAAUAUGCCUUAUUCUUUCUGGAGUUCUGUUAUCCACAUCAAGAUUAUCUCAUUGUUUUUCUUUAUAUAUUUCUCAGAAAUUAUAUAUUUUUAUUCAAGAGAUAGGGAUAUUCAACAGCUCUUAAAUAAAAAUAAAUCCUGAGUAACUUAUCUUUAUAACUCCCAGAAGAAAAUAUUGAAAGUAGUCACUGUAUGCAUGGAUUUACUUUUUUUCAUUACAUAAUUAUCUGCAAUAUACAAUUAUAUCCUAUUUAAUGAUGUUAUCUUAUAAAUAAUUGUAUUUUUUAACAACUUUAUACCAAAACUAAAAUAUUUUGAGACAAAAUAAAGAGAAGACAAGAUAAAUAGUUAAAAAUUAAAAUGGUCUCAAAUAGAGAUUUCCAAACAAAUACAUAAAUGGUCAGCAGUUGCUUAUGUCUCCAUUCUGAAGACAUAAAAACUGCAGACUCAGCCAGAUUUACGCAGUUGUUGGGACAACCUGCUUGUAAAAGGAGCUACCCACUAUGGGUUUCCUAUCUGCUGAGAGUCGGACACUCAUUGGAAUGACCUGCCUGCAGAAAGGAGCUACCCACUAUAAUCAGGGAAAUGCAAGUCAAAAGCACAGUAAGACACCUCACACCUGUUAGGAUGGCUAAAAAACACAAAAGUUAAAUUUUGGAGAAAAUGUGAACAAAAGGGAACCCUUGUACAGUGUUGGUGGGAAUGUAAAUUGGUACUCCCAUUAUGAAAAAUUAUAUAUGGAGGUUCCUCAAAACAUUAAAAAUAGAACUACCAUAUAAUCCAGCAAUCUUAUUUCACAUCUGGGUAUAUAUUCAAGGGAAACAAAAUCAUUAUCUUGAUGAAAUAUUUGCAUUUUCAUGUUCAUCACAAAAUUAUUCACAACAGUUAGGAUCUGGAAACAGCCAAAGUAUCCAUUGAGAAGUAAAUAGAUAAAGAAAUGGUGGCAUAUAGAAAUAUUAUGCAACCAUGUAAUGAUAAGGAAAUUCUAGAAUUUACAACAUGAACGAAGCUGGAGGGCAUUAUGCCAAAUAAAAUAAGCCAAUCACAGAAGGAUAAAAAAUACAGUAUGGUAUCACUUACAGGUGAAAUCCGAAACAACAAAAAAAGUUACAUUCAUUGGAACAUAGUAUAGAAUUGUAGUUACCAGGAACUGAAGUGGGGGAAUGGAGAGAUGUUGGUCAUAGGGUACAAAAUUUCAGUUAUAAGAUGAAUAAGUUCUGCAGACUGGAUGCACACCAUGUCGUGACUAUAGUUGACAGUACUGUAUUGCUUAUUUGAAUUUUCAUAAAGAAGCAGAUCUUAAGCAAUCUCACCAAAACUUUUUAGAAAGUAGCUAUGUGAGGUGUUGUUAUGUUAAUGAACUUUAUUAUGGUAAUCAUUUCAUAAUGUGUAUGUAUAUCAAGUCAUUACAUUAUACACAUUAAGUAUAUUCAAUUUUAUGUGUCAAUUAUAUUACAAUAAUGGUGAUUUUUUAAUGGCUUGCCUGCAGAAUGCCACCAUAUUCAUUAAGAUUUUCUUUUAUACUGUUUAUCCUAAGAGUACAGCAACAAAACUGUGGCUUUAAAAACUCAAAGGGAUGUAAUUAAACAAUUUACUAUGUUUAGUUUAUUAAAUUUUAUAAACUGCGUUAGACAAAAAGAUUUAUGCACUUAAUCACAUUUACAUUAAUCUAUAGUAAAGUUCAAAAACAGAAAAUCAAGCCUGGAAUAAUUUCCUGUAUUUCCUGCUGGAUCUGCCAGACUAGUGGAGGAUAAUACAAUUAGAACAUUUACAGAAGUCAUCGUGAAUGUUACUGUUAUUGAAGUUGAUAAAUGAAGUUUUCAUUUCGAUUAAGAAACAUGUAAGAGAUAUGAGUGUGAUAUUUGUUGUUUUUUAUGGACUACAUACAAAGUCUUGAAAAAAGAUUGAAGAGCUUAUCAAUCAAUACCAAGGCCUAGAAACCAGUUUUAUUUUCUUUAAAAUGAGAGACAGAGAAGUGAAUGUUAUUAAAAAGGCUACCGUAAAAAUAGUAUUUAUUGGCCUUUCCACUUACACAAUUUUAACAGCAGAAAUAAAACUUUAUUUGUAGAUGUUUUCACUUAUUAAAAAAAGUCUUAAAAAGUAGACCAUAGAAGUUCUUGGUUUCUUAUCAAUAUAAAGACAAGUUGGCUGUUGUUCAGUUUAUAAAAUAAAACAAAUUCUGUUCAUUAAUAAAGGCUGUCAAUCUAGAAAUUAAUCUUUUUCUUACAGGUAUGUGAUCUUCAAUAUUAUGGUGACUAUCUUUCCACCAACUGACUAUACGCCAAUCAUUUUCACUUCACUUCAAGGUUGCUACCAUAAACCAAAAAGCAAAUCCUAUAAAAUAUGCUUUUAAUUUGUUCGAAAUUGUAAUUUUUUUCUUUAGUUAGGAAAUAAGAAAGCAUUGUCACACACACAAUGUAUAAAGAAAAACAUAAUUCAAAAUUAUUCUGAAAACAAUUUGAAGACACAGAGAUUCUAAGAAUUAUUAUGAGUAGCUCUGUACAAAGAAAUCAUAGAAUUUGAGCAAAGUUACUCUGGCAUAAUUUGGAAGAAACUGAUAAAAUUGUCAUCAAUAUCACAGGGAGAAGUUCAACUCAGCUAGGGUAGAUAAAUCAUAUACUUUGAAAACAAGCUUAAAUACAGCCUAGCAUUAAAAAAAACAGGGAUAAACAAAAAUUAUAAAAAUGGAUCAUCCUAAAAAUAAGCACUGUAAAUAUAAAUGAUGUAAAAAAGCAAUAUCCAAAACUGUACACACAAAAAAAACUUAAAGCAGAGAUUCAGAAAGGUUAAAUAUUUAAAAAUGAGUCAAAAUAUAUCAGGUGAAAGCACAAAACAAAACAACAUGAUUUUCAAUCUUAAUAUUAGACAAGGUAUACUGAGACAUAUAAAAACACUUAAAAGACAGCAAGAGGCGCUUAUGAUACUAAAGAAUGCAACUCACAAUUAGGUUAUGUUAGUAAUGCUACUGCUUCAAAUAAAUCAGAAUCGGCUUUCAGAAGAAAAAAAGACUACAACAGCUCUAUUAAAAAAUGCUGCUUAUAGCUUACUCCCAAACAGAGCAACUGGGCAAAACUAUUUUAGAUAAGAAACACACAACACAUCAUCAAGAAGGUAGAUUGUAUAAAUAAAACACUCUGAACUAAAAUAGUAAAUAAUAUAACUUAUUUUCAAGUGCACAUGAAAAUCAACUAUAUUUUAGGCCCCAAAGUGCUCUUUAGUUAAUUCCAAAUAAUAGUGUUGGAAAAAUAAGCUAGAAAUUAACAAGAUUGCAGAGACUCUGUCACCUAAAACAUCGAAAACAUUAUUUUUAACAUGUAGGCCUAAGGGAAAAACGGAGUGGCAGCACUUAUUUAGAAGAAUGGUAACUAAAUAAUAUCAUAAUCUAUGAAAUAUAGCAAAUAAUUAUCAGAGGAAAAUACAUGGCAUAAAAUACUUAUAUCAACAGAAAGCAACAUCAACAAUAUAGUGAAUUAUGGCCAGGCACAGUGGGUCAUGCCUGUAAUCCUAGCACUUUGGGAGGCCAAGGUGGGUGGAUCACGAGGUCAGGAGUUCAAGACCAGCCUGGCCUACACGGUGAAACCCCAUCUCUACUACAGGCAGGCACCUGUAAUCCCAGUUACUCAGGAGGC
rnacentral:lncRNA from 10 species